rnacentral:misc_RNA from 1 species
UGACAAUGCGUGAAGACUAUGCAGCAACAUUGUAUAAUUGACUUGAGAUGUACAGUGUUCUUACUGGAUGUUGGUGUUUAUUUACCACAGCGGAAUCAAGUUUUGAGGGGAGGAGUCCAUAACAACAACUUGUAAUUGUCAUACCAAUUUGUGAUGGAUCAGACAUUCUUGAACUUCAUUGUGAUUGUAUUCUUUAGCCCAGGAAAAUAGAAAUUCUUUUUCCCUCCUCUUCUUCUGUUUUUAGAGGAAAAAAAUUCAUAUAUUAUCGCAUUGUGGAAUUGGUAAAACAAUUUUCUGUAAUAGAGACCCGUGGACAGUGUAUAUUUUGUAUACUAAUGAAAGCAAACUGAAUGUAGCAAGGCCG